UACGUAGGGGGCAAGCGUUGUCCGGAAUCAUUGGGCGUAAAGAGCGUGUAGGCGGCCCGGUAAGUCCGCUGUGAAAGUCCAGGGCUCAACCCUGGGAUGCCGGUGGAUACUGUCGGGCUCGAGUCCGGAAGAGGAGUGUGGAAUUCCUGGUGUAGCGGUGAAAUGCGCAGAUAUCAGGAGGAACACCAAUGGCGAAGGCAGGUCUCUGGGCAUUAACUGACGCUGAGGAGCGAAAGCAUGGGGAGCGAACAGG
rnacentral:rRNA from 1 species